CAGAGCAGCCCAUAAACCUACACAGAGCAGCGCUGCGAUUGCAUGUUGUAGAAGGAAGGCGGUGGAUAUACUCGGGGGUGGAGUGGAGGGGCCGCCGAUUACAGACAACUUGUCAGACCACCCCAAUAGUCCAACUCAUUUGCACUGGCUUAACCAUCUUGACCAGCCUUCUGGAGACCAGGCAUUUCCCAGAGUUGCUCAUGGCCUGAUCAACCAUGAUGCAAGGGAAAGCACUGGUACGUGACAGAUCGUUGGGUGGAUGAGGGUUGGUGCAGAGUUGGCACGGGGUGGAAUGGCAUUGCGACUGCAGCCCAGAGAAGGAAGGACAACAGAGCCCCUGAGGAUACGUUUGAAUAUUCUUAGG